UCCUCGGUGGCGCAAUUGGCUAGCGCGUCGUAAGUUACCACAUCGAAAAAAACCGGAGAAGAAAAAAAAGGGGCUAUUCAGAUUUCUAACCAUCUUUCGCAGUGACUGUUAAUCAGGAGGUUGAAAGUUCGAGCCUUUCCCGGGGAG